rnacentral:rRNA from 1 species
AUUGAACGCUGGCGGCAGGCUUAACACAUGCAAGUCGAACGAGUGGAGGACGGGUGAGCAAUGCUGGGGAAUCUGGCAUAUGGAGGGGGAUAACGAAGGGAAACUGUCGCUAAAACCGCGUACCAGAGGAUGAGCGCAAGUGGGAUUAGGAAGUUGGUGGGGUAAUGGCCUACCAAGCGGACGAUCUCUAGCUGGUCUGUGAGGAUGACCAGCCACACCGUGACUGAGUCACGGCCCGGACUCCUACGGGAGGCAGCAGGGGGGAAUAUGGCGCAAUGGGGUCAACCUGACGCAGCCUUGCCGCGUGAAUGAAGAAGGCCUUCGGGUUGUAAAGUUCUUUCGGUGACGAGGCGUUAAUCACAGAAGAAGCACCGGCUAACUCCGUGCCAGCCGCCGAGGUAUAC